rnacentral:rRNA from 1 species
UACAGAGGGUGCAAGCGUUGUUCGGAAUUACUGGGCGUAAAGCGCGUGUAGGCUGCUUCGCAAGUCGGAUGUGAAAGCCCUGGGCUCAACCCAGGAAGUGCAUUCGAAACUGCAGAGCUGGAGUCCUGGAGAGGAAGGCGGAAUUCUCGGUGUAGAGGUGAAAUUCGUAGAUAUCGAGAGGAACACCGGUGGCGAAGGCGGCCUUCUGGACAGUGACUGACGCUGAGACGCGAAAGCGUGGGGAGCAAACAGG